GCCUCCCAAAAGGUAACGGAGGCGCUCAAAGGUUCUCUCAGUACGGUCGGAAAUCGUACGUAGAGUGUAAAGGCAAAAGAGAGCUUGAUUGCAAGACAUACAGGUCGAGCAAGGAUGAAAAUCGGACUUAGUGAUCCGGUGGUUCUGCGUGGAAGGGCCAUCGCUCAACGGAUAAAAGCUACCCUGGGGAUAACAGGCUUAUCUCCCCAAAGAGUCCACAUCGACGGGGAGGUUUGGCACCUCGAUGUCGGCUCAUCACAUCCUGGGGCUGUAGUAGGUCCCAAGGGUUGGGCUGUUCGCCCAUUAAAGUGGUACGCGAGCUGGGUUCAGAACGUCGUGAGACAGUUCGGUCCCUAUCCGUCGCAGGCGUAGGAAAUUUGAGAAGACCUGUCCUUAGUACGAGAGGACCGGGAUGGACGUACCUCUGGUGUACCAGUUGUUCUGCCAAGGGCAUGGCUGGGUAGCUAUGUACGGAAUGGAUAAGCGCUGAAAGCAUCUAAGCGCGAAGCCAACUUCAAGAUAAGAUUUCCCACCGCAAGGGUAAGACCCCAGAAAGACUAUCUGGUUG
rnacentral:rRNA from 1 species